rnacentral:lncRNA from 1 species
AUUAAAUCACUACAAGUAGAGUCCCCUAUCUAUAUAUAGCUUCAAACUAUGAACCAUCAAAGCUGAGGAUGACAACAGGCUGCAUUAGCCAAAUUUUAAGAGUAAUGACGUUAGUGUUCUUAACCUUUUUAGAGCAAAGAAGAUUUUCUGAAUAUCUGCAUUGAACCUGACACCAUCAGCAAAGGAGACUUUAUAACUAUAGGAAGUCGAAAGGUGAGAAACCCCAAGCUGCACGUGGAGGGCACGGAGUGUCUCCAAGCCAGCCAGUGCACUUUGCUUAUCCCGGAGGGAGCAGGGGGCUCUUUUAGCAUUGACAGUGAGGAGUAUGAAGCGAUGCCUGUGGAGGUGAAACUGCUCCCCAGGAAGCUGCAGUUCUUCUGUGAUCCUAGGAAGAGAGAACAGAUGCUCACAAGCCCCACCCAGUGAGCAGCAGAAGACAAGCACUCUGAGACCACACUUUAGGCCACCGGUGGGACCAAAAGGGAACAGGUGCCUCAGCCAUCCCAACAGUGUCGUCAGAGGGUCCCCAGGGCAUUUUCAUGGCAAGUACCCCUCUGCCCCCACUCC